GGCGUGGUCGGCGCGGGCGUGGGCGCCGGAGCGGGCAAGGCGUUCGGCGACGGCGUCGGCGACUCGAUCGGCCGUUCCAUCGGCCGCAACGCCGCC
rnacentral:tRNA from 1 species